CGGGCCCAGGGGCAUCACCUGUGUGAGCCGUGGGACUGAGGGAUUCUUGGCCUCCAAGCUUCUGCUGGGCUGACUCAGCACCGGAAGGCCUGGUACCCAGUGACUGACGUAACCCCGACCCCGUGGAGGUGACUUCUCGCGGCCGCACCAGCUGUGAAAAGGCGCCACGUCCUUCAGCGGUUUUCA